AUCUGAAUUGCACCGCCAGCGAUCUUGGGUGGUCCCGUUCGUGUCAGCAAGGUUUUAUUUCAUAAUGUAUCAGUAUAGUCUUUAUCUUACUUACGUGAUACUAUCCGAUGUGAUAGGAAUAUGUGUAUAUAAUUAAAUUGUAAAAUGCAAUGGUUGUCCAGUAUUUGUUACGCUAGUACAUUAGUAUUGCAUCUUAUUAUAAAACAUUAUUUUGAGAAUGAAUUUAAGAAGACACGGGACACGGAUAAUUUUGGUACUGGCUGCUGUGAGCGUUGUACAGAGCAGUAUAUUAAAAAAGAAAUCUCUCUUAAGUCCACUGACGGAGACAUGUUUCACUUGCAAGCCGGAAGACAAGCCGUUCGCGUGGCCUCUAAUAUCACAAUUCAUCAAAAUAAAGGACGCUGUCGUACGCGCUGUCAACUCUCUUACAGAUAAAAUUAGUAAAGGAAAAUUAACCUAGACAUAAUUAAUUUUAAUUUCAGUGUAAUUUAAGAUAGUUAUAUUAUUUAUUAAAAUUAUUAUUAAUAAAUGAAUGUACUACGUACAGUUGAAGGCACCAGCAAGUUGAAAAGCCGCACUAUUUGUAACCUAUCCUGUUAUUCCACUAUCAAACUAGUUUCUGUAUUUUGCUUUGAAGAAUCACUUAAACUUAUUUACGCUGGAGUUGAGUCGAACUGUAGAUACGUCAUAGAUAGUAAAGUAAAGCACGAGUCGUAUUAACAGGAUUUUGAUGAUGUCUUCAAAGUGAUGACAUUGAGUCUAUAAAAAAAAGAAAAAGAAAAUCAUCUAAUGAUAGACUUUAUUAACAGAAACGAAAAUAUUACAAAAGAAAUAAAAAAAAUAUUGUCAUAAUAAGCGUCAUAAAUGGCUAAUAUGUAAAAUGUUUUAAGAUUUUAUAAUAAAAAAUAAUUUGUGUGUGUGAUUUA